AAGAAAUUAGUUUAAAAAAAACAUUAAUUUGUCAAAUUAAAGAUAUUAUUAUUAUUAUUUCUUA
rnacentral:tRNA from 1 species